rnacentral:rRNA from 1 species
GAUGAACGCUAGCGGCAGGCCUAAUACAUGCAAGUCGAACGGUGUCUUCGGACAUAGUGGCGCACGGGUGCGUAACACGUAUGCAACCUACCUUACAUUGGGGGAUAGCCUUUCGAAAGGGAGAUUAAUACCGCAUAAGACAGUAGCUGGGCAUCCAGCAGCUGUUAAAGAUUUAUCGAUGUAAGCUGGGCAUGCGUCCAAUUAGCUAGUUGGUGAGGUAACGGCUCACCAAGGCAAUGAUUGGUAGGGGAACUGAGAGGUCAAUCCCCCACACUGGCACUGAGAUACGGGCCAGACUCCUACGGGAGGCAGCAGUCGAGAAUUUUUCACAAUGGGCGAAAGCCUGAUGGAGCGACGCCGCGUGGGGGAUGAAUGGCUUCGGCCCGUAAACCCCUGUCAUUCGGGAGCAAUGCCUGCUUCCUAACACGAAGCAGGUUGAUAGUACCGGAAGAGGAAGGGACGGCUAACUCUGUGCCAGCAGCCGCCGUAACAC